UACGAAGGGGACUAGCGUUGUUCGGAAUUACUGGGCGUAAAGCGCACGUAGGCGGCUUUGUAAGUCAGGGGUGAAAUCCCGGGGCUCAACCUCGGAACUGCCUUUGAUACUGCAAAUCUCGAGUCCGAUAGAGGUGGGUGGAAUUCCUAGUGUAGAGGUGAAAUUCGUAGAUAUUAGGAAGAACACCGGUGGCGAAGGCGGCCCACUGGAUCGGUACUGACGCUGAGGCGCGAAAGCGUGGGGAGCAAACAGG
rnacentral:rRNA from 1 species